UGGGGAAUAUUGGACAAUGGGCGCAAGCCUGAUCCAGCCAUGCCGCGUGGAUGAUGAAGGCCUUAGGGUUGUAAAGUCCUUUCGGCGGGGAAGAUAAUGACGGUACCCGCAGAAGAAGCCCCGGCUAACUUCGUGCCAGCAGCCGCGGUAAUACGAAGGGGGCUAGCGUUGCUCGGAAUCACUGGGCGUAAAGCGCACGUAGGCGGGCUCUUAAGUCGGUGGUGAAAUCCUGGAGCUCAACUCCAGAACUGCCUUCGAUACUGGGAGUCUUGAGUCCGGGAGAGGUGAGUGGAACUGCGAGUGUAGAGGUGAAAUUCGUAGAUAUUCGCAAGAACACCAGUGGCGAAGGCGACUUACUGGACGACUGUUGACGCUGAGGUGCGAAAGCGUGGGGAGCAAAC
rnacentral:rRNA from 1 species